UACAGAGGGUGCGAGCGUUAAUCGGAAUUACUGGGCGUAAAGCGCACGUAGGCGGCUUGGUAUGUCGGGUGUGAAAUCCCCGGGCUCAACCUGGGAACUGCAUUCGAAACUGCCUUGCUCGAGUAUGGGAGAGGGAAGUGGAAUUUCCGGUGUAGCGGUGAAAUGCGUAGAUAUCGGAAGGAACAUCAGUGGCGAAGGCGACUUCCUGGACCAAUACUGACGCUCAGGUGCGAAAGCGUGGGGAGCAAACAGG
rnacentral:rRNA from 1 species